GAGGAAGACGACUUGAAGACUGUCUCAGAGGAAGACAGAGAGAAGGCGGCGUCUGCAGCAAGGAAAGGGGCCUCAGAAGAAGCCGACCUGCUGGCACCUUCAUCUUCCACUUCCAGCUUCCAGAACUAUGGGAAAAUGAAUUUCUGUUGCUUUGAUUUUUUGAAGAAGAAGAUCUGCCCUGAGCUAACAUCUGCUGCCAAUCCUCCUCUUUUUGCUGAGGAAGACUGGCCCUGAGCUAACAUCCAUGCCCAUCUUCCUCUACUUUAUACGUGGGACGCCUACCACAGCAUGGCGUGCCAAGCGGUGCCACGUCCGCACCCGGGAUCUGAACUGGUGAAUCCCGGGCCGCCGAGAAGCGGAACGUGUGCACUUACCCACUGCGCCACCGGGCUGGCCUCUGGAGAUAUUUUGAAGAGAAGAGUGAGAGUGUGCCUGUGAUGGGCAGAAAAUUCUCUGAAAGUCAUUUCUGUUCACUCAGGACGUUCCACGAGCUAAGACUUGCCAUCUCUCCCUUUCACCUCCCCUCUCCCACCCCUGAAACACUUUCCAUUUUCUCACUGUAGUGUAUCCUUCGUGCCACCUCCAGUUAUCUCAUUCAAAUCCAGCCCUGAUCACUUCACUAACCUCUUCAAAAGACUAUGGUUGUUCUCCACUGCCUUUGGGGUCAAGACCAAAAUCCUUAGCAUAGCACAGAAGACACUUCACAACCAGGUCCUGUCCUGUCCCCUGCAGCUUCCGCCCCUAGUCCUCGACCUCCACCAUUCCCCUGCCCAAUACAGCAACACAAAGGAAGCAUCUGUCCCACAGGAGGCCUCACCUCUCUGCCCCGUGUGGGAACCCUGGCAGGCGUGGCAGGCCUCCCGGAGCCCCAUCUACAUAAGAACCAGGUGGUCCUGAGAGAAACAAGGAAAAAGGAAUGUUGGAACUAGUGUUAAUCCCGAGCAACCUGGCAUUAAGGCUCUUCAGUGUGAGCGAUGCCUGGCACUUGCUUGGCUGCCGGGGGAGAGAGAUGCUGUGGUGGUUGUAGGAAAGGAAUUGUGCUUUACUGGGAAACUAGGCAUUGUCUGGAGGAAAGCCCUUGGGUCGUCUGAUUCUAAUCUUUCAUUACCUUUGAGCUACUUUACAACCUUUUCAGUUGUAAGUAAUUGAUAGUAAUGCAAAAUAAUCCUCUGACAUGCAAAUUCUGUCCUGUCUGGUAGGGCUCUCAUUGAUUUCCCCAGCCUCUGUGGUGAAAUCAGUUUGCUUCUAUUUACACAUUCAUUUCAAUAUUUCUGAUCUAUAAAUAUAGCUGUUCUUUGAGUUAUUUCAUUGAUUCAUUGAAUCAAUGUUUCCUUCAUUGAUUAGUGAGUAAAAUAAGAUGUUUAAC
rnacentral:lncRNA from 1 species